GGGAGGGUCUGCUGCUGAUUGGCUGGAAUGUGUCAGCUGACUGGAGUUCGCGGCGAACAGUUCGGGACAUCACUAUUAGUAAUCCUUUGAAGAAUGCAAUCGCAACUCACUAUGUGUCUUUUUUGUGAACUUGCUGCAUCAACAUGAUGUAGAGCACAAUAAGUAUGUUUUAGGUGUUGACCUUUCUAAAUGAAGUUACCCGAUGAAGAGAUUAUUGUUUUUCUCUUAAUAUAAAAAGACAAAGUUGGCGUAUUCAUUCACCUGAUCUGAUGAUAUGUCCAGUCUGAUGCUUUGCACAUUGUUUAAGGUCUGAGUAUAAAGUGAGACAUUGAAUUUGCCAUAUCUCUAUUUUAAUGAGGUGAACAUUUUACGCAAAAGAGCCCUGAAGUAUUGUAUGUGUGUCCUGCAUUGCCAUGGAGAGCAUAAUCAUUGCUUGGUAAUUGAGUUUUGUGAUAUUAUGUGCAAUUCAUGUUACCAUGGUGCAGAUCUAUUUGGAUGUCUGUAACAUCAUAUUUAAUGGAGCUUAUCGCAGCACAUCCAGGGCAAAUUUAAUGUUUCUCUAACAUUAAUAUUUUUUUUAAAGUGUGUAUGUGUAUAAACAAGUAUGUAUACAAGCGUGUGUGUGUGUCCUGUAGGAUUUAAAGUCUCCAGCAGUAGCUAAGUGCUCAUGUGUAUUUCUCUGUAUACUGACAGCUGAAAGAUGGAUGGAGUUAAAAUCUUCCAUUCACCAUCACCAGUAGCCAUUAGCAAAUAAAAAGUUUGCCCCGGUAAGUAGAAAUUCACCUCUAGGUCAAAGUUGUGAAAACAUCCCCCUCUGCUGUAUUUCCUGAGUUGGAUGUUUUUGUCCUUAGUUUUGCAUUUCCUUUAUUCAUUUUCCAUUAUUACCGAUUUAGUGAAUAAAUCCCCAUUGCCUUAAAUUUCCUUUUUAAAUAAUUAUUUGAUCGGUAUGUUGUGAUGAUGCUCAUCUCUCUGGUCUGUGUAUAAUUUUAUUACUGAUUGCACGGUUGGCAUUUUAGUCACUGCGGAGCAAAAUGUUGCACAACUCUCUGCCUAUUAGUUAAUAUAUCUAUUUUUUGUGAAAAUUAUAUUUCUUUAUGUAUUUUGAUUCAUAAUAAAAUCAUGAGAAAAA